GAACGAAUUGCCAAGCACAUUUAAGGCAUACCGGUAUCAGCAACAUCGUUGGUCUUGUGGACCUGCAAAUUUGUUUAAAAAAAUGGCAACUGAAAUCAUAACCAAUGAGAAAGUAUCAUUCUCAAAGAGGCUUUACCUUCUAUACAGCUUCUUCUUUGUGGGAAAGAUUGUCGCCCAUAUAAUUACGUUUAUCUUCUAUUGUGUUGUUAUACCAAUUUCUGUUUUGGUUCCAGAAGUGGUGAUUCCUACAUGGGGGUUGGUAUACGUUCCAACAUGCAUUACACUCUGUAAAGCUUUUGGAACUCCAAGAUCUUUUCAUCUAGUGAUCCUCUGGGUCCUCUUUGAAAAUGUGAUGUCUCUACAUCGGAUCAAAGCCGCG
rnacentral:misc_RNA from 1 species